UACAGAGGGUGCGAGCGUUGUUCGGAAUUACUGGGCGUAAAGCGCGCGCAGGCGGCCUUUUAAGUCUGACGGUGAAAUGCCGGGGCUCAACCCCGUGCCCGCCGGAGAUACUGGGAGGCUGGAGACGAGUAGAGGCAAGCGGAAUUCCGGGUGUAGCGGUGGAAUGCGUAGAGAUCCGGAAGAACACCGGAGGCGAAGGCGGCUUGCUGGGCUCAUGUCUGACGCUGAGGCGCGAAAGCGUGGGGAGCGAACCGG
rnacentral:rRNA from 1 species